UCCCCCCAUCGAGUCGACUGUGUUUGCAUAUCAUCCGGUGUGAGAGGAGUUCCUUCCUUCCUUCAUAAGCUCGCUGAUGGUGAGAGAGACGCUAUGUAGAUAUUCUGCAUCCACCGAAGGAAUAUAGCUUUGCUUCCUUUAUAGGGAGGCCUAUCUAUUAUGUAAUACUGCAGUUUCUAUUCUAACUCUAUGUGGUUUGUGAUGGAUGAUGCAUGGUGGUGCAGGCUUCAAACCAUAUCAAGACGGCCGCGCAUGCCCGAGGGGGCGUCCGCAAAUGUCCAUGCGACAACGAGUCUCGUUGGGCCAUGGAACCUGCAGACAAAAUCACUGGCAUCAGCAUUGGCGCUGCUUCAUGCGUAAACUCCAUUAAGAUAACCUUCGACAUCGACGGAACCACUCGCGUAACUCCCAGAUAUGGAGGCCCCGGCGGUGAACUAUUCCAGUUUACUCUCAUGCAAGAUGAAUACCUCACCUCCGUUUCUGGGUAUGUCAAAUACGACUGUUCUGAAUUUCCAUGUGUCUCUCAGCUCACGUUUACCACCAAUCUUGGAAAGACAUACGGUCCAUAUGGAGGUGGGGGUGGAACCUUUUUUGAAGUCAACGUAGAAUAUGACGAGAUUAAGGGUUUCUUUGGACAAGCAACUACAGAGUAUCUCACUGCAUUUGGAGUCUACGUGAUGCUGGCUUAGCCAACCCUUGUGGAGGGUGUUGACUAUCUAUCUCUAUCUCUGUGUGCCAUGAUGAAUAAGGAUGCCAAUGUCUGUUACUGGCAUCUAUGUUUGAGUUGGGUGUGUGUUUGAGUAGUGUGAAAUAAAGUCUAUCUUCUGUCACUACUAAUAAUAUGACGCGUCUCAUUGAUAACA